rnacentral:rRNA from 1 species
UACGUAGGGGGCGAGCGUUGUCCGGAUUCAUUGGGCGUAAAGAGCUCGUAGGCGGUUUGGUAAGUCGGGUGUGAAAACCCCAGGCUCAACCUGGGGACGCCACCUGAUACUGCUAUGACUUGAGUCUGGUAGGGGACCACGGAAUUCCUGGUGCAGCGGUGAAAUGCGCAGAUAUCAGGAGGAACACCGGUGGCGAAGGCGGCUACCUGGAUUGACCCUGACACUGAGGCGCGAGAGCGUGGGGAGCAAACAGG